UACAGAGGUCUCAAGCGUUGUUCGGAUUCAUUGGGCGUAAAGGGUGCGUAGGUGGUGACGCAAGUCUGGUGUGAAAUCUCGGAGCUCAACUCCGAAAUUGCACCGGAUACUGCGUGACUCGAGGACUGUAGAGGAGAUCGGAAUUCACGGUGUAGCAGUGAAAUGCGUAGAUAUCGUGAGGAAGACCAGUGGCGAAGGCGGGUCUCUGGACAGUUCCUGACGCUGAGGCACGAAGGUCAGGGGAGCAAACGGG
rnacentral:rRNA from 1 species